UACGUAGGGGGCAAGCGUUGUCCGGAAUUACUGGGCGUAAAGCGCCUGUAGGCGGGAACGUGCGUCGGACGUGAAAGGCGGGGGCUUAACCCCCGAGCGGCGUUCGAAACGGCGUUUCUUGAGGGUCGAAGAGGAGCGUGGAAUUCCGGGUGUAGUGGUGGAAUGCGUAGAGAUCCGGAGGAACACCAGCGGCGAAGGCGGCAUCCUGGACUGGUCCUGACACUCAGGAGCGAAAGCGUGGGGAGCGAGUCCGG
rnacentral:rRNA from 1 species